CCUCCCUCUCCCAUCCCAGUCUCUCCAUCAGCCUCCCCCUCCUCCCUCUCUCCUUCUGUCAGCAUGGGUUUUGUUCCCUCUCUCUCUCUCUCUUUGUUUCCUUGUCACUUCAGAGAAGAAGCAGAAUUAGGAUCCAUUACACACACCUUGACACACCAGACACACCCUCUACAGAUGAGAUCAGGUCUGUGUGUUCCAUAGCAGCGGUGCCACUGUGGGAUGUAAUGGAGGAGUCUGUUGGGAAGAGCAGAGGUUGUAACUCCACCUAGUGUUCACUGGAGAAACUACAUCUGGAGGAGGCGCAGUGUCUUAUGUCCUCAUGUUUGAUAUAUGAUUAAUAUUCAAUGCAAAAUAUUAGGUUAACAUUUUGUAUUUUUUUAAAGCACAAGAAAUAAAAAAAUGUAAAGUUGGAAUUCAGGUGAGAGUCAGACAACAUAUCUUUCUGGAAGGAGGGGUGAAGGUGGUCUGGAGGUGAAGGAGGUGUGGUGGUGGGAGGUGUGGAGGAGGUCUGGAGGUGGAGGAGGUAUGGAGGGGGUCUGGAGGUGGAGGAGGAGUGGUGGUGGGAGGUCUGGAGGUGGAGGAGGUGUGGUGGUGGGAGGUGAGGAGGAGGUCUGGAGGUGGAGGAGGUGUGGUGGUGGGAGGUGUGGAGGAGGUCUGGAGGUGGAGGAGGUCAAUCAAUCAAUCAAAUGUAUUUAUAAAGCCCUUUUUACAUCAGCAGUUGUCACAAAGUGCUUUUACAAAACACCCGGCCUUAAACCACAAGGAGCAAACAACUGAAGUGUUGUAGUGUUGCUAGAAAAAAGGGAAAAAAAGCAGUAAUUUAGGAAGAAACCUAGAGAGGACCCAGGCUCAGAGGGGGGACCAGUCGUCUUCUGGCUGUGCUGGGUGAACAUUUUAAGAGUACAAAUUGUAAUAAUUAAUAAAUGCAUGCGGGUUGAGUCCAGAGUCUAUUUAAACAUAGUCCAGGUCAGAAGCAUGACCAGAUGGACAAGGACAGGGACAACCCGGGAGGGGGGGGGCAGCAGAGUGGCAGGUGAAAUCUCAGCUAUCUUCUUAUUCUGCAACACAACCAGGAGGACUCUGGACAGGGACCAGGACCUCAUGUCCUCAGUCCUAAGUUUAAAACGGCAGGAGACAGGUAAAAUGUGGUGAUGAGAGCCCACCUGGCAAGACAGCAAGGGUGGACAGUAUGAAGACUUUCUGGUCACAUUCACGCCCCCGGGCCAGGCUACACCUAAUUAUAAACCGUGCUGUAGAGAUGAGUCUUUAGUAGACACUUGAAAGUUUGCACUGAGUUUGCAUUUCUAACCUUAAUUGGCAGAUCAUUCCACAGUAGUGGAGCUCUAUGAGAGAAGGCCCUGCCUCCGGCAGUUUGUUUAGAGAUUCUAGGUACAAUUAAAAGGCCUGCAUCUUGCGAUCGUAGGUCACGUGUAGGUAUGUAUGGCUGGAUCAUUUCAGCAAGGUAAGUAGGAGCAAGUCCAUGUAUUGAUUUAUAGGAGUAAAACCUUAAAAUCAGCGCUAACCCUAACAGGCAGCCAGUGUAAGGACGCUAGGACAGGAGUAAUGUGUUAAAAUUUUUAUGUUUUUUGAAGUUUAUUUAUAAAUUUUUCUGGAUAACCAGAGAG
ensembl:lncRNA